rnacentral:lncRNA from 1 species
UUCUAUCUCACAAGCAUUAUUUUUAUUUCAACACCAUCGUGCUGAAAAACUAAGCUGUAACCGCCGAGAACCAACAAAAUAAACUUUUUGAAGUGUCUCCACAGCAAUGACUAAAAUAUCGAUAAUAUCGGCGAAAUAUCGCCGAUAUUAUCGGCGAAAUAUCGCCGAUAUUAUCGUUUAUCAGAGAAAUCUAUAUUUUCCCACGUAUCCUCUAAUUGUCGUCAAAAUAUCGUGAUAUUAUCGAUAAUAUCGCGAUAUAUUCGAUAUUAUCGAAACAAUCUCGUGGCUCCGUCGUCGGAAAGGCAGCCAAGGCUGCGUCGUUUGGAUCGCCUCCCAAACUUGCUCUGUCGCUCAUCCUCCAGAUCUUUGACAUCGCCGGAGCUUACCGGAUUCUGCAGAGAAGAUGUAGAAAUUGUCCAGGAUUAGAAUCAAUUCUAUUCCUUCACCAAACUAAAUCAAAACCCUCCACAAUUGAUGGAAAUAUUCAGAGGUUAAGAAUAGAAAUAGAAAUAAAUCUGAAACGAAAGCACAUGCAUGUGUUAGAUCUCGCUCUAUUUCAAUCCAACACAUAAAUCUGGAACGAAAGAACAAAAAAAAUUAACACACAUGGAGGAGGGAUUUACCUUCAUGCAUCUCAGUUUUCAUGAUUAUAGAGACACGGAGGUGUGUAUGUUGCUGGGCUUCAGGUUGCAAACAAUAAUGAAGAGCUAUGAGAGAGAGUGGCUGCUGUGAGAGAGAAGGCUGUAAGAAUGGGCGUUGGGCUUGAGGUUGGAGAAAUGAGAGCAUCUCUCAUAUUCUAGAGAGAGUGUGAGAGAGUGAGAUAGUGGUUGAGAAUCUGAAAAGCAUCUUCUUUUUCUUUCUACACGGGUUGGUUUGAAAAUGAGAGUGGCUCGUGGCUCAAGGCAAUUGAAAGGGGAUCCAAUGUUUCAACACAUGCUAGAACAAAAACAUUAAUGUUCUUUUCUUUUGUUGAACAAAAUUAAAAUUUUUGGUUCUCUUAAAUCUUUUGUUGAACAAAAUUAAAAUUUUUUUGGAUUGUGUUUAGUUUGCGGAUCUAUUUUCUGUAAAAAAAAAUGGUGAUAAUUAAUCUCGGAUCCAUAUGGGUGGCAUGUUAACAAUUACAUGCAAAACUAUUUUGGGGAUUUAUCAUUUUAUGACUACUCUUCACAAUACACUUACUCUACACAUAGAGAUGAUGAAGAUAGUCAAAAUUUUGAACCUAAUAGGAACUCUAUGUGGUACUAAGUCACUUAUGUAUCUUACCAUGCAAUGUAUAAAGUGUAAAAUAAUGUACUAAUUCAUU